CCCGCCACUAUGCUGGUCUGUCUGUGAUCUAGUGUAAUCCAGUGGUGAGCUGAGAGCAAACCCCAGCUUAGGUAACAGGCUCUUUCCUCUCGUGAUUGGGUCUGUGCCGAAAGACUGGGGAUAUGA